UUAAGGCCACGGGGGUUGGUGCCCAA
rnacentral:misc_RNA from 1 species